GGGCCCGCACAAGCGGUGGAGCAUGUGGUUUAAUUCGAUGAUACGCGAGGAACCUUACCAGGGCUUAAAUGUAGUGGGACAGGUCUAGAGAUAGACCCUUCUUCGGACUCAUUACAAGGUGCUGCAUGGUUGUCGUCAGCUCGUGCCGUGAGGUGUCAGGUUAAGUCCUAUAACGAGCGCAACCCCUAUCGUUAGUUGCCAGCGAGUAAUGUCGGGAACUCUAACGAAACUGCCAGUGCAAACUGUGAGGAAGGUGGGGAUGACGUCAAAUCAUCACGGCCCUUACGUCCUGGGCUACACACGUGCUACAAUGGCCGGUACAGAGAGCAGCCACUUCGCAAGAAGGAGCGAAUCUACAAAGCUGGUCACAGUUCGGAUCGGAGUCUGCAACUCGACUCCGUG
rnacentral:rRNA from 1 species